ensembl:lncRNA ANKRD34C-AS1 ANKRD34C antisense RNA 1
AGAAGCAGAUCAGAAAUCGAACACGUUUGCUUUUGCGAUUCGAGAGCCCUUUCUGGCGCGGAGCUAGGGGCGGUGUUACGUAGCUGCCCUGAACUGAGAGCAGCGUUGGCCGGGGGCUAGGGAGCCGGGCUGUUCCACGCUCACUGUGCGCCUCGGGCGGCGGGGCUCGGGCUCUGUCCGAGGUGCUGAACUCCGGGGCUCCGGCCGCGCCGGCAGAGUGUGCCAGCGUCCAUUAUUGCCAGUGUCUGUGGGCAUCUUCCAGAAGGCCGAGCAUGGGGGUCAGGUGAAACCAGGGCGCUCCCAAGCACCUUGCCCAGUAGAGCCCCCUUGCACCCUGCUUGGUUGGUCAGCACCCCAUGGACAUGCAGCCUUGACCUUGGCAUGGGAAGCCUCCACUGUGUCAAGCCCAACAUCCAGGCCUCUGAAGACAGUCAUUCAGAAGCUGAGAUUCUUGAGUAUGACUGUUCCCCGGGGCAAGGGUAUCUCAACUUUGGCACUACUGACAUCUCCACGUUUUCCAGGAGAGAAUCCACUUUUUGUUUUAUCUGGGUCAACUCCUUCAUAAUGGCCUGAAGGUCAUCUCCUCUCAACUUUCCAGACUUGGAAGAUCCCUGCUGUCCACUCUUAGAAUUGAGGCCACUUUUGCCCCUUCAUGAGGUGUUUCCUGAUACACGCUGACGUUUUGAGAGCACUACAGCCCAAGCAAUAGGAGGAGGAGGAGGCACACGUGCUGAGUAACUGUACAUCGUGUCAUCAUAAUCACCUUGAUAGUCAUAGCCCAAGUGAAAAGAGGAGCUAUACAUCUCCACUGCAGAUCGUUUCACGCCUGCUUUUCCACGGUUCACUUUUGGCUCUGCAGCCAGGUUAAUAUCUAAAACCUGGCCAGCAAUCAUUCUAUCAUCCUCUCCUGCUCCAGCAGCCCGGGCAUUUCUCUCACUAAAAUAUUGAACAAAGGCAAAGCCCUUAUGAACAGCACAGCCCAUUUUGCCAUACUUCGAAAAGAUUGCCUCCACAUCAGAUUUCUUGACCACAAGAGUGUUGAGAUUCCCAAUGAACACAUGGGAGUUCAUGGAGCAAGGAUUUGUCUUGUUGGUAACGUUGCUGGCCAUUGUGUUUGCUGAUAAGGUUUCUCACAAAGCUGAAAACAGGAGGGGGAGGGAGAAGAGAUUCGAUUCUGAGUCUCCUACUCCCGGGUUCUACAUGGAGAAGCCAACUGCUGCUCAAGGUCACCAACACGGCCACAACCACUCAGUCUUCGUCUCUUCACAAAAAAAUCAAUAGUAGGUUUUUUUCCUCACCUGUGUAACAUCUUGUCACUCCAGAUAAACACCACCAUCCCUGAGCUGGACUUGACCCAAGUUCCCUGGUCACAUCUCCAUGGCUUCCAAGUAGAUGACAGCAUCCUGGCUGGGCUAUCAGGUCCCAGGAUGCAAUGAUAUUACAGAAAUAGUUCCUGUGGCCCCAUAAGUCUACAGGAUUGAGGCUGCUUCUCACCUCUGUCUCCUUCCAAAUUGGCUCUGGAACAGGGAUAGGCUGUAAUAUAUAGAUGGGACCCUCAGAACCUCUACCUGAGGGGUUCAGGGGAGCCAGAGGCAGGUAACACCAGGCAGGAUCCUCCUUGAAUUCAUCCUUUAUGCCUUUAACAAAGUAACCAAGCACAUGCUCUAGCGAUAAUCAAUUUAGGCACAUCCCACAGAUUCCAGCUUCUCUGCCACCAACCACCAGGCAUGAUCUAAGCAAGCUCUUUCACCUCUUGGAGCCUUAAUUUUCUCAUCUACAAAAUGGAAUAACGCGAUCAUCCUUGAAGGUGAGUUACAUGUGAUCAUGGGUGUGAGCAGCUCUUUGUAAGCAAUGAAGGCCCAAGCAAUUGGAAGGGGUGGUGAUCAUGGAACUGUCAAAGGUACAUUUGUUGCUGUGAAAAACUGAAGGUACUGGACCAUUUUCUCAUCUUUCUACAGGUUGCUGGAAUCACAACUUAUAAUUAAUGCACAGUGAUAUGGCUUGACCCAGUUUCCUAAAUUGGAAUGUUUCAGCUAAAACUGAUGAAAAAUUCUUGUCUUCCAAGCAGAACUAGCUAGAUGAACCCCCUCCAGAGCUAGUGAGUAAAUAUAUACAGUGAAAUAUAUAUAUAUAAAUACAU